rnacentral:rRNA from 1 species
GCUAGUAAUGGCAGGUCAGCAUACUGCCGUGAAUACGUUCCCGGGCCUUGUACACACCGCCCGUCACACCAUGAGAGUUGGGAAUACCUGAAGCCCAUGUCAAAGUGGUCGAAGGUAGGCUUGAUGAUUGGGGUGAAGUCGUAACAAGGUACC